GCCAGAGCCAUAUCUUCCUGCAGGUUCUUGCCUGGUGUCCCACUGAAGCUAAGCAGUGUUGAGCAUGGCUAGUACCUGGAUUGGAGACCUCCUGAUGAAAACUAAGCUUGUUGCUGGAU
rnacentral:rRNA from 1 species